rnacentral:sRNA from 1 species
UACAAUAAAAAGGCUUGCAAGGGCGGUCGGCUAAUCUCCCGGAAGGGAGGAGAUGCCUGUGGAGGCUAAGGACACGCUGACUUUAAUGAUCGGCUUCGGGAUGCUGCUUAUUGCGCUGCUCACGCUGAUAGUUAACAUCAUUGUCGCUCUUAUCCAAAACAAAAAGAAAUAGACCGCCCAUUACACAGGGAACACGGUCUAUUUCACGAUCAUUCCUUAUUCAGCCAACCGCCUUUGAAGCGGUUAUUGUACCAAGGGAGAACGGUAGCCGCCGUUGCUCC